AGCGAACGCUGGCGGCAGGCCUAACACAUGCAAGUCGAACGAAGUCUUCGGACUUAGUGGCGGACGGGUGAGUAACACGUGGGAACGUGCCUUUAGGUUCGGAAUAACUCAGGGAAACUUGUGCUAAUACCGAAUGUGCCCUUCGGGGGAAAGAUUUAUCGCCUUUAGAGCGGCCCGCGUCUGAGUAGCUAGUUGGUGAGGUAAAGGCUCACCAAGGCUACGAUCAGUAGCUGGUCUGAGAGGAUGACCAGCCACAUUGGGACUGAGACGCGGCCCAAACUCCUACGGGAGGCAGCAGUGGGGAAUCUUGCGCAAUGGGCGAAAGCCUGACGCAGCCAUGCCGCGUGGAUGAUGAAGGUCUUAGGAUUGUAAAAUCCUUUCACCGGUGAAGAUAAUGACUGUAGCCGGAGAAGAAGCCCCGGCUAACUUCGUGCCAGCCGCCGCAGUAAGAC
rnacentral:rRNA from 1 species